UGCAAAAUGACCGUUAAUACCGCAGGAUAUUAUGUCAACGGGACCUACCGGCUCGCUCUCAUGCUUGAGGAUUACGUUCCAUAUAAGGUUAUCGUUGGAUCCAGACAGCAUAGCCCGGGAACUGCGUUCAGCAAAACACAUUGACAGAUGACCUUACGAAUAAUACAAGUGCCGUGUGAUAAUACACUGAGGCCAGACUUUGUUAUUCCAACGCCGAGAAAUAAUGUUCGAGCCGUCUACACGAAAAACAGGUAAAAGGAAAUGGGCUUCCUGUUACCUAUGCACUCCAACCACCCGACUUAAAAGCAGUACAUCGAAUAGCUAGUUUUUUUCAGUCUUUCAGUUAACGGAUUAAUUGAGUUGCGUUCUGAGAAAACUGGGCAUAUUGCAUGUGCUUAAAGUGUCAUACCAGAUUAGCUUGUGCAGUCCGCACAGGCUAAUCUGGGACGACACUUUCCGCACAUGCAAUAUGCCCAGUUUUCUCAAAACGCGACUCAAUUAAUGGAUGUCAAAAAUUAUUUUACCGGUUAAUUGUUUAAAAACAUG